rnacentral:lncRNA from 1 species
UAUAAAAGGCCCCAAAAUGACAAUGUAAAACAACUUCAACGAAAAAACUAACGGCCUAAUUUAUGCUAAAAAAUAAAGACAAGAUAAUCAAAUAAUUAAGAAAUAUUUGGUCUGAUAAUCAAAUAAUCACUAUCAAAACAGCAAAGUAAUCACAUAAUAAAAAAAAAUCCAUGAGGAGGCUCAAGAUUUGAGGGGGAAAAAAGUUAUAGCUUGUUGGUUGGUGUGGGCCAAGGCUCCGUGUUGAAGGCCGUACAUUGACCUAUAAUGGUUUCCUUUUUUUAAAUUGUUAUUUGGAUGGAGAGUUGUCUCAUUGGCACUCACACCACAUUCCUAUAUCUAUAUAUAAAUCAAAGAGCUGAAUAGCUCUGAGGGGAAAGACGGCCCUUGUUUCUAUUUAAUUUAAUUUUUUUUAAUUUUUUUUUUUUGGGGGGGGGGGAGUAUCUUUUGAUAGUCUUCAUAUAAAGAAUUAAAAAAAGAACAGCUAGAACAUGAAGAAAGGUUGACAAUAUUGAAAUCAAUUGUGUAAUGUAGUUUCGUUUCCUUAGUUUAGGAUUCAAUUUGGACCAAUUGAAGAGAUCUGCAUCUUCUAAAUCUAAACAUUCGAUUAAAGAUGAUAGUUA